CCCUUUGCAACUGUAAUCUGUUGAUGACCUGUGUGCAGCUUGUUACACUGCAGCUUGUCACACUGAAUGGCAGCCUGAAUAAUUUAAUAUUGAACUGUGAUUAAUCACAAGAUGAAAGCUAAGAUUGGCUGGUAGGAGGCAGUGUUCUUUGCUGCAGCAUUUCCCACCUGAGGUAAUUUUCCUUGUUCUGAAAGUGUCAAGUACAGUUGGGCAAUGUACUACGUAGGAAGAAGGGAAAGAAUCUCAAAAACAAAUAAAUGAACAAAAAAAACCCCUUUAUAUUUGCUUGUGCAAGAAGAAGAUUGUUCUUCCACUCAACCAGGUUUUGAGAGGACAAAUUAAUUGUUUCUCUGACAACACUAUACAUUGGAGGCUGUUAAUGAUCCCGUAGUCUGUGCUAAAGGUUUCAGCUGAUUGUGUUUGUCAUCAGCUUUUACUAAAGAAAAAGCAAGCCUUCUUGGCUGUGUGGAUAUUCCAGGAACGAAACGAUUCCAUUCAUGUAGAUAAUGAUAACAGAGCCAAACCAAAAAUAUUGUAAGUGUCCUAUGUGGAACAAUAUACAGAAUUUCAAAAGGGAUUGUAGUGGUCCCAUAUACAGAACUAACAUACUUCCUGUUCCUUAUUUGCUGAUCAGGUCAUAUUUAUCUGCCUGUCAGGACUGUUGGAGCGCUGGAUGGAGAGCAGGUCAUAUGAAGAGGAUUACGGAGUAAAAGGCAGCUUGUACUGAAGUGCAGGGAAAGUAUAAAUAUUUAUAUAUAUUGGCACAGUGCCUAGCCUUAAUGCUUAAAAUCCUUUGGAGAGCUGUCUGCAUAUUUACUGUAUUAAUGAUCAAAUGCAAGGCUGUGUUGGGAAAGGUCUUCCAUUUGGAAGUCAGUAGUUGAGACUGUCUUGCCUAUGAAAAAGAGGGAGAAUUUUCAUUAGAGGAUGUAGGAUUCUGGCUGGUAAUAGUCUUAGUUCGAGGUAUUUUUAGAGAAUUGAUUUAACGCAAGCAGAACAAAUGGCCAGAAGUGUAAUGAGAGACAAGUUGAAAUUAGAAAGUAGAUGUGCAUUUUGAAUGUAUUAUCAUAGCAACUGAUUAAAUUCUCCCUCUCUUGCUGUUCUGGGGACCUUUUAAAUGUGCUUUGGCUAAAUAAAAAGUAUUAGACUGUUUCAGAGCCAAAAGGUCGGUUCUUGUUGUCUCUUUUGCACUUUAAUUCUAGUACGCUGAUACUUGCUAACCGCUUAUAACCCUAGAUGCAGAAUGAGAACUUGGGUUAUUAACAGUAAACAAGUCAACAGCAGAAAGACUUGACCUUUCUUUUGAAUUGCCCUACAGUGUUAAAAAAUACCAAACAAACCUCCUUCCCCAAAGAAACACCCCCCAAAAUACCCCAACAACUCACCAAACAGAAAAUCACCGGCAACCAAAAAGCAGAAGUAACAAACACGAACAGCAAGCGGAGGAAGAGUUUGAAAGCGGGAUGGACAGAAGCAGAAGUGUUACUGCCCACUCUUAGGCCACUGUGCUGAUUCAAUGGGUGUUGUUAGGUUUAGAUUAGUAGUUCCUUGUUGUUGGGUUUUUCGGUGGUGUUGAUUUUUUUGUUGUCGAUGUGGGGGAUUGUUCGUUUGUUUGGUUUUCAUUUGUUGUUUUUUUUUUCUGUAUUAAAAAUCUGGCUCAGUUACUCUCUAGUUCUGGUGUGUUUUCUUUUCCAGGUGGUUGGUGUUUCUGCAGUGUUUGGCACAGGACCGGACUGAACGCACUCCCUUUAUUCACCUUUUCAGAGAGUAUCGUCCACAAUACGAGCGCCCGAGAAAAACACUGGACCUGAUGCUUCUGCAAUGGGUCCCUCUGAGCUAAUUCUAACACGGGGAGCUCUCGAUGAAGAGCAAGAAGACAGGGAGAGUGACGCUGAUGGCAUUGACCAUGAAGGUAAGGGAAUGAGGUCUAAAAGCUGCCUCUCAAGAAAUCCCCUCUAUAUUUCAUGACCUGGAUGGACUGUAAGGAGAGCCUAGCAAACAAGCAAACAUUCAGUCACCUGACGUGUCAGAAUCUGUAGCAGAAGCUCCGCUGCAAUGGUCAGUGCAGGGAUAUCACUCUGUAAGCUUUGUGAAAGUUCAAUUGUAAAUUUUCUAUUCGAGUAAUUAAUAGGUGUAUAACACACAUAAACCAGAGAACUCGUUAGGCUUGGGGCAUGCAGUGACCUCUGAACCUGAUUGAUGCACAGAUGUGUCCAUCAUCUUUUUGGCCUUACAGUUUGUGGCCCUGGCUCUCUUCCCUUUUCCUGUGACUGUGGUCUUGGAGCAAUCUUCUAAGUUGUUACAGUGUGAUUUUUCUCUUCUAUAGCUCACAGACUUAAUCUUCCUUCUUUCCCUGUUCCGCUGAUGGGUAGGAUCACUUAUUUCCUUUGCCCUGUAAUGUAGUUGAAGAUGGAAUAGACUUUCUAUGUUGCUUUGGCUA